rnacentral:lncRNA from 1 species
UUGCUAUUUCUCACCCCUCCAGUCUACUAGUAAGAGUUAAUCACAAGACUGAUGGAGUCACAAAGGACAUUCUCAGAAAACUAUCAGAAAUGCUUGGCAUAUGUAGCCUCUAGUCCAUCAUCCCUGUGAAGAUUGAGCCUGAAGAGUAGUUACCGUUCCAUAGUACUCAAAUGUAAAUGUUAAUUACAAUUAUAUUUCCGCUAUAUAACAUUGUUUGUGGUAUUGUUCCUUUUGUUAUUGUAUGUGUGGACUUCGUGGG